UACUAGCUGUCCAAGUCGCAGCCAUCUUUAUUGGGUCUAAAACAUCCGUAGCUUGUUCAGUAAGUUCCUUGUGAAAUCCUAUAUCUUAAGUAUAGGGCGCGCAAGGAGUACUGCUGGGCUGGAGACCGGAAGACGUAAGAAGUACGUUUGAAGUAGCGGUUAAAUGCGUUAAUCUCAGACGGACUCACAACAGCGAAGGCAUCUUACGAGGACGGUUCUGACAGUGAGGGAUGAAGGCCAGGGGCGCAAAACGGAUUAGAUACCCGUGUAGUCCUGGCAGUAAACACUGCACACUAAACAUCAGUGCCUCUUCGAGAGGCAUUGGUGCUUGAGGGAAGCCGAAGAGUGUGCUACCUGGGAAGUAUAGUCGCAAGACCGAAACUUAAAGGAAUUGGCGGGGAGACACUACAACGGGUGACGCGUGCGGUUCAAUUAGAUUCCACACCGUGAACCUCACCAGGACCGACAGCAGAAUGAAGGUCAGUCUGAAGGGCUUACCUGACACGCUGAGAGGAGUUGCAUGGCCGACGUCAGCCUGUGCCGUGAGGUGACCUGUUAAAUCAGGUAACAGGCAAGACCCGCGUGUAUAUUUACUACGUGUACAAUAUACAGAUUGCCAUGGUAACAUGGAUGAAAGUGCGGGCUACGUUAGGUGAGUACAGCCUUAAUGCCCUGGGCAACACGGGCGCGUCAAUGGUAGAUACAAUGCGACGCAACUCCGAAAGGAGAAGCAAAUCGCUUAAAGUCUAUCUCAGUCUAGAUCGAGGGCUGAAACCCGCCCUCGUGACACUGGAAUCCGUAGUAAUCGGGUGUUAGCAGCGCCCGGUGAAUAUGUCACUGUCUCU
rnacentral:rRNA from 1 species